GCGGAUUCCGCGGCCGGCUCUGCGGUUUCCGCGGCGGCUGUGGACCGAAGAGACGCGGUCGGCUCUGGGGUGUGGGGGCGCUGGAGGGGCUGAGUGCAGACUCUGGGCCGCGAGGCUCGCCUGCACAAAAAUUUUUGAAAAUUGAAAUGAAUGAUGCCAGGUUUACUGGGACAGGAAUGGCAGUAGGAAAAUUCACAGUUAAGCACCAAGGAGAGAGGGAGCACCGCCAGGGCUGAAAAAGAGGAGAGAAAUAGAAACCAAAGCUUCAAACUUGGAAAUGAUGCUGUGGCAGCUCUGGGGCCUUGGCCAACAUGGAAACGACAGAUUAGGCCCGAGGGACUCCAGAAUAGUGGUGGCAACUGAGUCUCCUCCAGCGCUGGAACUCCAGAGGGCUCUUAUCCUCUGUGUAAAGAUGAAUGAGAAAACAUUCCAUUUCCAUGCACAGAGAUGCUGGGCAUCUCCAUGAACAAAGGAGAUGGAGCUGGGAGUGCAGGCAGGCCAAGGUAACUAGAGUUCAAAGGGAGCAGAAGAAACUACUAAUACUGCAAACUGAAGUAAGCAUUCACAAACAAGCAUUUGGAGAUACCGAAAACUUAAAAAAAAAUCAUAUCUUUCAAAACUAAAAAUGAAAAUGCACCCCCUCAAAAAAAAAAAAGAAAAAAAAAAAGAAGAAA